ACGGGAGGCAGCAGUGGGGAAUAUUGCACAAUGGGCGCAAGCCUGAUGCAGCGAUGCCGCGUGAGGGAAGAAGGUUUUCGGAUUGUAAACCUCUGUCAUCGGGGACGAUAAUGACUGUACCCGAGAAGGAAGCCCCGGCUAACUACGUGCCAGCAGCCGCGGUAAUACGUAGGGAGCGAGCGUUAUCCGGAAUUACUGGGUGUAAAGGGAGUGUAGGCGGGACUGUAAGUCAGAUGUGAAAUAUACCGGCUCAACUGGUGGACUGCAUUUGGGACUGCGGUUCUUGAGUGAAGUAGAGGUAAGCGGAAUUCCUAGUGUAGCGGUGAAAUGCGUAGAUAUUAGGAGGAACAUCAGUGGCGAAGGCGGCUUACUGGGCUUUAACUGACGCUGAGGCUCGAAAGCGUGGAGAGCAAACAAGAUUAGAUACCCUGGUA
rnacentral:rRNA from 1 species